UACGUAGGUGGCAAGCGUUGUCCGGAUUUACUGGGCGUAAAGGGCGCGCAGGCGGUCGGCUCAGUCGAAUGUGAAAGCCCCCGGCUCAACUGGGGAGGGUCAUUCGAUACUGUCCGACUCGAAGGCAGGAGAGGGAAGCGGAAUUCCCGGUGUAGUGGUGAAAUGCGUAGAUAUCGGGAGGAACACCAGUGGCGAAGGCGGCUUUCUGGCCUGUUCUUGACGCUGAGGCGCGAAAGCUAGGGGAGCGAACGGG
rnacentral:rRNA from 1 species